rnacentral:rRNA from 1 species
GACGAACGCUGGCGGCGUGCUUAACACAUGCAAGUCGAACGGAAAGUCCCUGCUUGUGGGUUGUUCUCGCGUAACGAAAUGGUUAGUAACCCGUUAAUAACCUGCCCUUUACUUUGGGAUACCUUCAGGAAACUGGGGCUGAUACCGGAUAUGAGCUCCUACUACAUGGUUUGUUUUGGAGAAUUUCGGAGGUUGGGGAUGGACGCGCGGCUUCGCAGCUUGUUGGUGGGGUAGUGUCUUACCGAGGCUUUGACGGGUAGCCGGACUGAGAGGGUGACCGGGCACAUUGGGACAGAGAUACGGUCCAGACUGAAACGGGAGCCAUCAGGGGGGAACAUUCCAAACUGCGCGGCAGGCUGAAGCAGGGACGUCGCGUGCGGGAUCACUGUUUUCGGGUUGUAACACGUUUUAGCGUGUAAAGAAGCGCGCGUGACGGUAAUUGGUAAGGAAGCAACGGCUAACUACGUG